rnacentral:ncRNA from 1 species
UACCUGGUUGAUCCUGCCAGUAGUCAUAUGCUUGUCUCAAAGAUUAAGCCAUGCAAGUCUAAGUACGAGCUCUCGUACAGUGAAACUGCGAAUGGCUCAUUAAAUCAGUUAUGGUUCAUUUGAUCGUACAGUUUACUUGGAUAACUGUGGUAAUUCUAGAGCUAAUACAUGCGAGAAGCGCCGACCUCGCGGGAGGCGUGCAUUUAUCAGACCAAAAACCGGCCGCGUCUUCGGGCGCGUUCGCCUUGGUGACUCUGGAUAACUUUGCGGAUCGCACGGUCUAGCACCGGCGACGGAUCAUUCAAGUGUCUGCCCUAUCAACUUUCGUCGGUACGGUAUUUGCCUACCGAGGUUCUUACGGGUGACGGGGAAUCAGGGUUCGAUUCCGGAGAGGGAGCCUGAGAAACGGCUACCACAUCCAAGGAAGGCAGCAGGCGCGCAAAUUACCCAUUCCCGACGCGUGGAGGUAGUGACGAAAAAUAACAAUGCAGGACUCGUUCGAGGCCCUGUAAUUGGAAUGAGUGCACUUUAAAAGCUUUAACGAGUAUCCAUUGGAGGGCAAGUCUGGUGCCAGCAGCCGCGGUAAUUCCAGCUCCAAAAGUAUAUAUUUAAGUUGUUGCGGUUAGAAAGCUCGUAGUUGGAUUUUGGGCGCAGGCGGCCGGUCCGUCGCAAGGCGUGUACUGGACGUCCUGGCCUUCCCUCCGGUUCUCCGCCGGUGCUCUUGACUGAGUGUCGGCGGCGGCCGGAACGUUUACUUUGAAAAAAUUAGAGUGUUCAAAGCAGGCUCUCGAGCCUGGAUAAUGGUGCAUGGAAUAAUGGAAUAGGACCUCGGUUCUAUUAUGUUGGUUUUCGGAGCGCGAGGUAAUGAUUAAGAGGGACAGACGGGGGCAUUCGUACUGUGCCGUUAGAGGUGAAAUUAUUGGAUCGGCGCAAGACGAACG